rnacentral:rRNA from 1 species
UACGAAGGGUGCUAGCGUUGUUCGGAAUUACUGGGCGUAAAGCGCACGUAGGCGGAUUGUUAAGUCAGAGGUGAAAUCCCGGAGCUCAACUUCGGAACUGCCUUUGAUACUGGCAAUCUAGAGUCCGGAAGAGGUUAGUGGAAUUCCCAGUGUAGAGGUGAAAUUCGUAGAUAUUGGGAAGAACACCAGUGGCGAAGGCGGCUAACUGGUCCGGUACUGACGCUGAGGUGCGAAAGCGUGGGGAGCAAACAGG